rnacentral:rRNA from 1 species
GUGGAGAGUUUGAUCCUGGCUCAGGAUGAACGCUGGCGGCGUGCCUAAUACAUGCAAGUCGAGCGAACAGACGAGGAGCUUGCUCCUUUGACGUUAGCGGCGGACGGGUGAGUAACACGUGGGUAACCUACCUAUAAGACUGGGAUAACUUCGGGAAACCGGAGCUAAUACCGGAUAAUAUUUCGAACCGCAUGGUUCGAUAGUGAAAGAUGGCUUUGCUAUCACUUAUAGAUGGACCUGCGCCGUAUUAGCUAGUUGGUAAGGUAACGGCUUACCAAGGCAACGAUACGUAGCCGACCUGAGAGGGUGAUCGGCCACACUGGAACUGAGACACGGUCCAGACUCCUACGGGAGGCAGCAGUAGGGAAUCUUCCGCAAUGGGCGAAAGCCUGACGGAGCAACGCCGCGUGAGUGAAGAAGGUCUUCGGAUCGUAAAACUCUGUUAUUAGGGAAGAACAAAUGUGUAAGUAACUGUCACGUCUUGACGGUACCUAAUCAGAAAGCCACGGCUAACUACGUG